UACAGAGGUCUCAAGCGUUGUUCGGAUUCAUUGGGCGUAAAGGGCGCGUAGGCGGCGGGGUAAGUCGGGUGUGAAAUCUCAGAGCUCAACUCUGAAAUGGCACUUGAUACUGCUCUGCUAGAGGACUGGAGAGGAGAUUGGAAUUCACGGUGUAGCAGUGAAAUGCGUAGAUAUCGUGAGGAAGACCGGUGGCGAAGGCGGAUCUCUGGACAGUUCCUGACGCUGAGGCGCGAAGGCCAGGGGAGCAAACGGG
rnacentral:rRNA from 1 species